CCUACGGGUGGCAGCAGUGAGGAAUAUUGGUCAAUGGACGAGAGUCUGAACCAGCCAAGUAGCGUGAAGGAUGACUGCCCUAUGGGUUGUAAACUUCUUUUAUAUGGGAAUAAAAUGUUCCACGUGUGGGGUUUUGUAUGUACCAUAUGAAUAAGGAUCGGCUAACUCCGUGCCAGCAGCGGCGGUAAUACGGAGGGUCCGAGCGUUAUCCGGAUUUAUUGGGUUUAAAGGGAGCGUAGGUGGAUUGUUAAGUCAGUUGUGAAAGUUUGCGGCUCAACCGGAAAAUUGCAGUUGAUACUGGCAGUCUUGAGUAUAGGAGAGGUGAGCGGAAUUCGUGGUGUAGCGGUGAAAUGCUUAGAUAUCACGAAGAACUCCGGUUGCGAAGGCAGCUAACUGGACUGCAACUGACACUGAGGCGCGAAAGUGUGGGUAGCAAACAGGAUUAGAUACCCGUGUAGUC
rnacentral:rRNA from 1 species